rnacentral:rRNA from 1 species
UACGUAGGGUGCAAGCGUUGUCCGGAAUUAUUGGGCGUAAAGAGCUCGUAGGUGGCCUGUCGCGUCGGCUGUGAAAACUCGGGGCUCAACUCCGAGCUUGCAGUCGAUACGGGCAGGCUAGAGUUCGGCAGGGGAGACUGGAAUUCCUGGUGUAGCGGUGAAAUGCGCAGAUAUCAGGAGGAACACCGGUGGCGAAGGCGGGUCUCUGGGCCGAUACUGACGUGAGGAGCGAAAGCGUGGGGAGCGAACAGG